rnacentral:lncRNA from 1 species
AAGUGCGCUCGGGCUCCGUCAGGGCGGGCGCCGCUCCCAGGGACCGGAGCGCGGGGAGGCCGCGGCGGCCGAACGGGCUCGGAGCCCCCGCGCCGCGCUCGGAGCUGCUGCCGGCCUGCCGCGGGCUGCGAGGGGACACCGGCUGAAGCGAAAUGUGCCAGAAAUGGAUGGGGUAGCUGCUGGCCUGCGGGAUAAGUAUCCCCAGUGGAUGCUCACAGAGAGCCAGGACGAAGCUUCCUUGGGGCACACAAAGAAGCCUGGUGC